rnacentral:rRNA from 1 species
UACGUAGGGUGCGAGCGUUGUCCGGAAUUAUUGGGCGUAAAGAGCUUGUAGGCGGUUUGUCGCGUCUGCUGUGAAAAUCCGGGGCUCAACCCCGGACUUGCAGUGGGUACGGGCAGACUGGAGUGUGGUAGGGGAGACUGGAAUUCCUGGUGUAGCGGUGGAAUGCGCAGAUAUCAGGAAGAACACCCGUGGCGAAAGCGGCUCUCUGGAACGGUACUGACACUGAGGCGCGAAAGCGUGGGGAGCGAACAGG